GAACUAGUGUAGAGCUGUCCUGCCCAGGUAUGAAACUAGUGUAGAGCUGUCCUGCCCAGUUAUGAAACUAGUGUAGAGAUGUCCUGCCCAGGUAUGAAACUAGUGUAGAGCUGUCCUGCCCAAGUAUGAAACUAGUGUAGAGCUGUCCUGCCCAAGUAUGAAACUAGUGUAGAGCUGUCCUGCCCAGGUAUGGAACUAGUGUAGAGCUGUCCUGCCCAGGUAUGGAACUAGUGUAGAGCUGUCCUGCCCAGGUAUGAAACUAGUGUACACCUGUCCUGCCCAGGUAUGGAACUAGUGUAGAGCUGUCCUGCCCAGGUAUGGAACUAGUGUAGAGCUGUCCUGCCCAGGUAUGGAACUAGUGUAGAGCUGUCCUGCCCAGGUAUGGAACUAGUGUAGAGCUGUCCUGCCCAGGUAUGGAACUAGUGUAGAGCUGUCCUGCCCAGGUAUGGAACUAGUGUAGAGCUGUCCUGCCCAGGUAUGGAACUAGUGUAGAGCUGUCCUGCCCAGGUAUGGAACUAGUGUAGAGCUGUCCUGCCCAGGUAUGGAACUAGUGUAGAGCUGUCCUGCCCAGGUAUGGAACUAGUGUACACCUGUCCUGCCCAGGUAUGGAACUAGUGUACACCUGUCCUGCCCAGGUAUGGAACUAGUGUACACCUGUCCUGCCCAGGUAUGGAACUAGUGUAGAGCUGUCCUGCCCAGGUAUGGAACUAGUGUAGAGAUGUCCUGCCCAGGUAUGAAACUAGUGUAGAGCUGUGAUUGCUUUAGUACAAGGCUGCCCAUUUAUUAAAGUCA